GAUGAACGCUGGCGGCGUGCCUAAUACAUGCAAGUCGAGCGAACAGACGAGGAGCUUGCUCCUCUGACGUUAGCGGCGGACGGGUGAGUAACACGUGGAGAACCUACCUAUAAGACUGGGAUAACUUCGGGAAACCGGAGCUAAUACCGGAUAAUAUAUUGAACCGCAUGGUUCAAUAGUGAAGGACGGUUUUGCUGUCACUUAUAGAUGGAUCCGCGCCGCAUUAGCUAGUUGGUAAGGUAACGGCUUACCAAGGCAACGAUGCGUAGCCGACCUGAGAGGGUGAUCGGCCACACUGGAACUGAGACACGGUCCAGACUCCUACGGGAGGCAGCAGUAGGGAAUCUUCCGCAAUGGGCGAAAGCCUGACGGAGCAACGCCGCGUGAGUGAUGAAGGUCUUCGGAUCGUAAAACUCUGUUAUUAGGGAAGAACAAAUGUGUAAGUAACUAUGCACGUCUUGACGGUACCUAAUCAGAAAGCCACGGCUAACUACGUG
rnacentral:rRNA from 1 species